rnacentral:lncRNA from 1 species
ACACCACAUGUGGAUUUUGAUGUACCAGUCAAAGUGCAGGUGCAGCACCAGUUUGAAUUUGAAUACCAGACCAAAGUGGAUGGUGAAAUAAUCCUUCAUCUUUAUGACAAAGGAGGAAUUGAGCAAACAAUUUGUAUGUUGGAUGGUGUGUUUGCAUUUGUUUUACUGGAUUCUGCCAAUAAGAAAGUGUCCCUGGACAGAGAUACAUAAGGAGUCAGACCUUUGUUUAAAGCAGUGACAGAAGAUGGAUUUUUGGCUGUGUGUUCAGAAGCUAAAGUUCUGGAGGCCACAAGUCCAAAAUCAAGGUGUGGGCAGAAAUGCGCUCCCUCUGCAGUCUCUUGGGGAGGAUGCUUGUUUCUUCCAGCUUUGCGACUGUGGUGCCUGCCGCCAUUGGAACCAGCUCUGCACGGCUCAGACCUGGGUGAUGAGGACACAGCUUUGCAGGUGGGCAGCCACAUCCCCAGGGGGAGACUGUG